AUCAGAAAGUUGCUAAUAUGUUAGCAACGGGUCCAAGAAAGUGGAACGGUGGCACUUCUGCUAUGUCUCUUCCACAUAUACCAGUUCCAUCCCUCUGAGUCGUUGCUCAUCAAUCAUACUGGGAAGCUGACUUUUAUUCCGCACACUUCACCACUAACUGCAUUAGAGAGCUGAAAAACUUACUCAAAGUUUAGAAUGUGAUAAACGUAAUCAAAUUGCUCUAGUCAAAUUCUAACAGUGGUGAAUAGAUGACACUAAUUACCUUUUCUUAUUAUGCUACAAAUGUGGUUUACUCCAUCUUUAUUCAUGAAGAAAUAUCAUGCAACCCACCGAGAGGACUGCAGCAGGAUGUAAUAUUGGCUUAUUUGUUUCCUUAGUUUUACUUCUUUCUUUACCAGCAUCCAAAAGAUGAAAUUUUAAGCUGCAAUAUAUUUAUAUGCAGUAGUUUUUUACCCACUUUGGAAGAUAAUUGCUACCCAGUGCAAAGCCUCACAAUUCUGCAUAAACAAGUGCUUUUGAAACUCCAGUAAAAUGAUAUAAACUUUUUUUUUUGUGGUGGUUGGCACUUACUUUUGUUUCAGAGUAAGUGAUAUAUUUUUUUUUAAAUGAGUUAACACAGAAAAAAAUGAAGCAUGUGCUUAAAAAUGCAUCGAGAUGAGAGAAAUUGAACCACUCAUUUCAGAAAAAAAUAUGGAACUAUGCCACAGUUAAAGUUUUUUCUACAUUUUUACAAGUGGAAAUUUCUCACUAAUUCACCUUGAAACUAGUUCAUAGGAAAUAAUUAUUCAAACUUGCUUACAUGCUGUCUGGUUGAAAUAAUUUACAUACCUAUUUCCAGUGGUCAUAGUAGAGCCAAGUUUCAAAACCUUGUCACCAGAUGAUUACAUGCUCUUUCCAUACAUCAAAUGCUGUACUGGGGAUGAUUAUCUGUGAAAGUUUCUAUUUUCAUUUGUCAGAUAACCAGAAACUAUUUUGUUUUAAUACUUGCCAGGUUAAACCAACCUCAGUAUUUUCUCAUAAGUCCAUAAGGCUUACUUACGAUACUAAAGGUUAGGACAUGAAAAUAUUAAGCAGAAGUAUGCCUAUAACAUCCUAAGUACAAUAUAAUAUUAAUUGAUUUUAGAACCACUAAAUUCUUCACAUUACAAUGGAAAGUAUAUCUGAAAUUCAAUAAAGAAGAUCUAAAUGAAA